rnacentral:rRNA from 1 species
UACAGGGGGUGCAAACGUUGCUCGGAAUCAUUGGGCGUAAAGCGCACGUAGGCGGUCUGUUAUGUCGGAUGUGAAAGCCCUUGGCUCAACUGAGGAAGUGCAUCCGAAACUGGCAGGCUAGAGUACUAAAGAGGAUCGCGGAAUUCCCGGUGUAGAGGUGAAAUUCGUAGAUAUCGGAAGGAACAUCAGUGGCGAAAGCGGCUUCCUGGACCAGCACCGACGUUCAGGCACGAAAGCGUGGGGAGCAAACAGG